rnacentral:rRNA from 1 species
UACGUAGGUGGCAAGCGUUGUCCGGAAUUAUUGGGCGUAAAGCGCGCGCAGGCGGUCCUUUAAGUCUGAUGUGAAAGCCCACGGCUCAACCGUGGAGGGUCAUUGGAAACUGGGGGACUUGAGUACAGAAGAGGAGAGUGGAAUUCCACGUGUAGCGGUGAAAUGCGUAGAGAUGUGGAGGAACACCAGUGGCGAAGGCGACUCUUUGGUCUGUAACUGACGCUGAGGCGCGAAAGCGUGGGGAGCGAACAGG